rnacentral:tRNA from 1 species
UCCGAUAUGGUGUAGUGGCUAACAUUCUCGCCUCUCGCGCGAUAGCCCGGGGCUCAAUUCCCUGUGUCAGAA